AUUGAACGCUGGCGGCAGGCCUAACACAUGCAAGUCGAGCGAGCGGCGGACGGGUGUGUCAUGUAUGGGGACUGCACGCUAGCGGGGGAUCACUCCUGGAAACAGUAACUAAUACCGCAUACUCUCUUAUAGCCCAUAUGGGAUUAGCGAGUAGGUGAGGUAAUGGCUCCCCUCGACGACGAUCCCUAGCUGGUCUGAGAGGACGAUCAGCCACACUGGGACUGAGACACGGCCCAGACUCCUACGGAGGCAGCAGUGGGGAAUAUUGCACAAUGGGCGCAAGCCUGAUGCAGCCAUGCCGCGUGUAUGAAGAAGGCCCUAGGGUUGUAAAGUACUUUCAGUCGGGAGGCGUUACCGACAGAAGAAGCACCGGCUAACUCCGUGCCAGCAGCCGCGGUAAUAC
rnacentral:rRNA from 1 species